AAGAGCUUACUACCUUUCCUAAAACGGCCAAUCUUUCGGUCUUCCCCUUUUCCCCACUUUCUUGAAUUCAUGAGAAGGGUCAGCCACUACCUAAGUUUGGUGAAUGGGAUGUUAAUAAUCCUGCUUCAGCAGAGGGCUUCACUGUGAUCUUUAAUAAGGCAAGAGAUGAGAAGAAAUCCGGUGGCCAACCUGAAUCACCUGGAAACGCGCCGAAGGCAAAACCUGCAGUAGAUCCUGGCAAACCUCAAGCUAAGAAAUGGUUCUGCUGCAUUCAGAGCCCAUAACCGUGUUGCUCUGUGAUCGUCUCCACUGGUUUUCGAUUGCAGUCAGCCUGCUAUACUAUUUGCUCCUUAGUCUUCAUUCAUGGAGGAAAAAAGUUGAAGAAUUUUACGUGCUUUAUUUGUGGUGCUGUGAAGUGUUGGUAGAAGCUGACCUGUGCUAUCUCAUUUGUUUUUACUUCUUUUUUGUUGUUUUUUUAUGGAAGCAUGUUGCUGCUUAGAUCUGAUAUUGAAUCUCUAAUAUUGUUUGUUAAAUGGUUUCUUUCUCUCUUUCCAUUUUCAUUUUCCCCCAUAGAAGAUUUUCGAUUCCUCGAAAACAACCCUUUAGAGAAAGUCCAUGCCUCAUGGAGCAUAA